AGAGCGAACAUCUGACGGUCGAUUCACCAACGCCGUUUCGACUCUCGCGGGGGCGAGGUCGCCUCGGCUUAUAUUGUGUGCAGCACAGUGGCCUGGUCGAAAGCUGGGGUCAAGUACCUUACCGCAUCCACACCCUGCAGACCCCCCCGGCCUCCCUGC
rnacentral:ribozyme from 1 species